GUCAGAUUGAACGCUGGCGGCAGGCCUAACACAUGCAAGUCGAGCGGUAGCACAGAGAGCUUGCUCUCGGGUGACGAGCGGCGGACGGGUGAGUAAUGUCUGGGAAACUGCCUGAUGGAGGGGGAUAACUACUGGAAACGGUAGCUAAUACCGCAUAACGUCGCAAGACCAAAGAGGGGGACCUUCGGGCCUCUUGCCAUCAGAUGUGCCCAGAUGGGAUUAGCUAGUAGGUGGGGUAACGGCUCACCUAGGCGACGAUCCCUAGCUGGUCUGAGAGGAUGACCAGCCACACUGGAACUGAGACACGGUCCAGACUCCUACGGGAGGCAGCAGUGGGGAAUAUUGCACAAUGGGCGCAAGCCUGAUGCAGCCAUGCCGCGUGUAUGAAGAAGGCCUUCGGGUUGUAAAGUACUUUCAGCGGGGAGGAAGGUGAUGAGGUUAAUAACCUCAUCAAUUGACGUUACCCGCAGAAGAAGCACCGGCUAACUCCGUGCCAGCAGCCGCGGUAAUACGGAGGGUGCAAGCGUUAAUCGGAAUUACUGGGCGUAAAGCGCACGCAGGCGGUCUGUCAAGUCGGAUGUGAAAUCCCCGGGCUCAACCUGGGAACUGCAUUCGAAACUGGCAGGCUAGAGUCUUGUAGAGGGGGGUAGAAUUCCAGGUGUAGCGGUGAAAUGCGUAGAGAUCUGGAGGAAUACCGGUGGCGAAGGCGGCCCCCUGGACAAAGACUGACGCUCAGGUGCGAAAGCGUGGGGAGCAAACAGGAUUAGAUACCCUGGUAGUCCACGCCGUAAACGAUGUCGACUUGGAGGUUGUGCCCUUGAGGCGUGGCUUCCGGAGCUAACGCGUUAAGUCGACCGCCUGGGGAGUACGGCCGCAAGGUUAAAACUCAAAUGAAUUGACGGGGGCCCGCACAAGCGGUGGAGCAUGUGGUUUAAUUCGAUGCAACGCGAAGAACCUUACCUACUCUUGACAUCCAGAGAACUUUCCAGAGAUGGAUUGGUGCCUUCGGGAACUCUGAGACAGGUGCUGCAUGGCUGUCGUCAGCUCGUGUUGUGAAAUGUUGGGUUAAGUCCCGCAACGAGCGCAACCCUUAUCCUUUGUUGCCAGCGGUUAGGCCGGGAACUCAAAGGAGACUGCCAGUGAUAAACUGGAGGAAGGUGGGGAUGACGUCAAGUCAUCAUGGCCCUUACGAGUAGGGCUACACCGUGCUACAAUGGCGCAUACAAAGAGAAGCGACCUCGCGAGAGCAAGCGGACCUCAUAAAGUGCGUCGUAGUCCGGAUUGGAGUCUGCAACUCGACUCCAUGAAGUCGGAAUCGCUAGUAAUCGUAGAUCAGAAUGCUACGGUGAAUACGUUCCCGGGCCUUGUACACACCGCCCGUCACACCAUGGGAGUGGGUUGCAAAAGAAGUAGGUAGCUUAACCUUCGGGAGGGCGCUUACCACUUUG
rnacentral:rRNA from 1 species